GUGCUUGCUUUGGCAGCACAAAUACUAAAAUUGGAACAAUACAGAGAAGAUUAGCAUGGCCGCUGCACAAGGAUGACAUGCAAAUUCGUGGAGCAUUCCGUAUUUUA
rnacentral:snRNA from 1 species